rnacentral:rRNA from 1 species
UACGUAGGGGGCGAGCGUUGUCCGGAGUUACUGGGCGUAAAGGGCAUGCAGGCGGUCCGACGCGUUUUGUGUGACAGCGGGUGGCUUAACUACCCGAGGAUACGAAAGACGGUUGGACUUGAGGACUCGAGAGGGACACGGAAUUCCGGGUGGAGUGGUGAAAUGCGUAGAGAUCCGGAGGAACACCGAAGGCGAAGGCAGUGUCCUGGCGAGUGACUGACGCUGAGGUGCGAAAGCCAGGGGAGCGAACGGG